GAACAAACAACAUCUAGAUAACUUUUAGAAAUCUCUGCCAGCACAUGUGACACGAUAAUUCCGCGGUCACACACAGACACACGCGCACACACAAAAAUCCUUUUUUGGCAGGACACCAAAGCACACAUUCCAAUUGUUCAAUGUCUUCCUCCUUUUGUUUUCUCUGUUUAUCUCAUUUUUACUUUCUCUUAUGAUUUAUUACAUAUUUCUCUCAAUGUCAGAAACCUUUGACUUUACAUCCUGUUUGUGAGUUAAAUCAUUGUGAAAGAACUGAGUGCUUUGGAGUGUGACAGUAAUAAAGAGGCCAAAGACAUUUCAGUAGCCCGACCUCCUAGUUUUAAGGGAAGACUCUUUGAAUCGUCUCGUUUUUUGAUUAUGAGAAGUAUUUUCAACUUUAAAGUCAGGGAUUGGAAAUUAACUCAUUUAAUUUCUGUCUGAGUAAAGUAACAAUAGUAACCCUGUGUGUUCCUAUUGCAGUCGGCUCCAAGGCGGAUCCAGCGUCAGUCUGCAAGCUCCGCCUUGGAGCCAGCUCCAGUUUUGGCCAUUCACACCAUAUCCUCCGCGCCUACCGAUAUCUCAUCGUCAAACGGGGGACCCGUUGUGGACACGAGUUGCAUCCGCCCAUCAAACGCGCCGUUUCCCUGCAGACAGCUAAUAGGCAGCCUACGUUAGGACCCAGGGGGUGGGAUAUUUACCUGGGCAUAUCUUUCUCAACGAAACUUUGAACGAGAUGAACAGCGUAUCAACCACAAGGCCUUUGUUUGAUUUGGUACAUUAUUUUUAUUUUCAUAAAACAUUGGAGGACAUGACAUCAAAAGGGUUACAUUUGGCCUUCAGUCAAAUGAUCUCGAAGACCCUGCUCCUCCGUAAGUAACUGCUGUGGUGGCCACUACAGAUUUUAGACUGCAUAUCUUUUUUAGAAAUGUAUCCGCUUUGGAUCAAUUUUUGGCCAAAGGAGCCGCCUUAAACUUGUCAUCAAAGAUGCAUUAAUUGUCACGACAGCCACGCCGUGAUCAAGUUGUUGGUGUGCGCGGCCGUCUGUUGAUGUUUUUCCAGGAGUUAUGACAACGGGCCGUGGACCUUGAGGACGCUCAGCUGCUGGCAAUUACGCAACUGGCUCCAGUUCCCGAUCAGGGGGGUAUUUAAGAGCCGUCCGGAGAGCCAGUCCCUGCCGGAUCGUUACGUGCCAGGACUUCGCCUGAGACUACCGUCGUCCACCCUGCUGGACUCUUCCCCACCGAGCCCCAGAAACCAGAACGUCUUGGACUACUGGUGUUUUUCGUUAUUUUUGGAUCUUUGUUCACCCCACCAAUCCAGUCUGCGUUUGGGUCCUGUUCAAGCUUGACAUGACAUUAAUUAAAUGGAACAACUCCUGAAGCAAUAAAUUCUGAAAACAAGUGUUACGCCCCAGUCUAGGGGUGCAACAUGAAUAGGCCCAGAUCUUCCCCGUCUCCCAAGUAGCCACACACACUUUAAGUUUAUAUAGGGGAUAUUUAUUGAAAAAAAGC
ensembl:lncRNA